rnacentral:lncRNA from 1 species
CCCAAUUUAACACUAGAUCCGUUUCCUCACAUCUUUUCAACACUCGAUCUAGAUUGUUAAGGCAUUGGUGAAAAGAUGGACCAAAGAUGGAAAAGUCAUCUAUGAAGACUUCUAGAAAGUCACCUAUCAUUUCCGAGAAGAUGCUAGUCAUGCACCUUUGGAACGUGGACGGGCCCGUGGUUAGGCCGAAAGCUAGACGUCUAUAAGCGAAGGUUCCAAAAGGGCAAGUGAAGGUGGUCUUUUCUUGGUCCUCGGGUGCGAUUGGGAUUUGAAAAUAUCCCGAGUAACCAUCUAAGAAGCAAUAAAACGCAUGACCCGCUAACCUCUCUAGCAUUUGAUCGAUAAAAGGCAAAGGAAAAUGAUCUUUCCUAGUGACGGCAUUGAGCUUCCUAAAGUCUAUGCACAUUCUCCAACCGGAUUGGACACGGGUUGGAACUUGCUCAUUGUUCUCAUUGGUCACCAAAGUAAUGCCCGACUUCUUAGGCACUACAUGGACGGGACUCACCCACUUACUAUCGGAAAUGGGAUAAAUGAUCCCAUUGUCUAAGCAUUUAAGAAUUUCUUUCUUAACUACCUCCAUCAUGGGAGGAUUCAACCUCCUUUGAGGUUCUCUCACGGGCUUUGCAUCUUCUACCAAAUGAAUCCUAUGUUGGACAAUCGCCGGGCUAAUUCCUUUAAUGUCCGAAAUGCUCCACCCUAUCGCUCCCUUAUGCUUUCUAAGGAUUCCUAAAAGUUCUUCCUCUUGUGACGUAGUCAAAUUAGAGGCAAUGAUAACGGGAAAUUUCAACACUAAGUCUAGAUUGUUAAGGCAUUGGUGAAAAGAUGGACCAAAGAUGGAAAAGUCAUCUAUGAAGACUUCUAGAAAGUCACCUAUCAUUUCCGAGAAGAUGCUAGUCAUGCACCUUUGGAACGUGGAUGGGCCCGUGGUUAGGCCAAAAGCUAAGCGUCUAUACGCGAAGGUUCCAAAAGGGCAAGUGAAGGUGGUCUUUUCUUGGUCUUCGGGUGCAAUCGGGAUUUGAAAAUAUCCCGAGUAACCGUCUAAGAAGCAAUAAAACGCGUGACCCGCUAACCUCUCCAGAAUUUGAUCGAUAAAGGGCAAAGGGAAAUGAUCUUUCCUAGUGACGGCAUUGAGCUUCCUAAAAUCUAUGCACAUUCUCCAACCGGAUUGGACACGUGUGGGAACUUGCUCAUUAUUCUCAUUCGUCACUAAAGUGAUGCCCGACUUCUUAGGCACUACAUGGACGGGACUCACCCACUUACUAUCGGAAAUGGGAUAAAUGAUCCCAUUGUCUAAGCACUUAAGAAUUUCUUUCUUAACUACCUCCAUCAUGGGAGGAUUCAACCUCCUUUGAGGUUCUCUCACGGGCUUUGCAUCUUCUACCAAAUGAAUCCUAUGUUGGACAAUCGCCGGGCUAAUUCCUUUAAUGUCCGAAAUGCUCCACCCUAUCGCUCCCUUAUGCUUUCUAAGGAUUCCUAAAAGUUCUUCCUCUUGUGACGUAGUCAAAUUAGAGGCAAUGAUAACGGGAUAUGACUCGUUAGGGCCUAGAAAAGCAUACUUAAGAGUGUCG